AGAUAAGUUUUUGCCACCCUGAACGUGCCCGAGCUCAUCUGAUCUCAGAAGCGAAGCAGGGUUGGGCCUGGUUAGUACUUGGUUGGGAGACCACAUAGAAAGAACAGGUGCUGUAGGUG
rnacentral:rRNA from 1 species